rnacentral:misc_RNA from 1 species
GGUUGUGAGGCUUAAGAUCCCUGAGAGGAAAAAGAGUAGAAAAGAAAGGAUAAUGACCAUUUUAUUACAUUAUUCUCAUGAAAAAAAACGGUAAAACCUGAGUUGAAGCAAUAGAAGAUCAUUAAUUAUUCACGUAAAAAAGAACCUGUGUAAGAUUCCAUGCCCGUGGCAGAAAGCAACUCCCUUGCACAGUUGAUACAUCAAGGUCUUAACAAUUUUCACAGGAAUAUUCUCUCCAGUUUUGCGGAAACUUCGAAUAAAUUUCUUAAGAUCAGUGUCCAUGUACUCAAAAACCAAGUAGAGUACAGUCUUCCCUGCUUUGUUCAGGCCUUGUUUGACAUCCAUCAAUCUGACAACAUGUGGAUCCCAAGAGAGCAUACGCAAGAUGGAGACCUCACGCAGAGUGGUGGGAGGGACUCCUUCAUCAUCUUCGUGGAGACGAGUCUUCUUGAGGGCAACGAUCUUACCGGUUGCCCUCUCUCUUGCCCUGUACACCUUCCCGUAAGUUCCCUCUCCUACCUUCUCUAGUUUCUCAAAUGCCUCCAUAACAGACACGGUUGUUGCUGGUCUCUCCAUUCUCUCUCUCUCUCUGUGGCUCUCAGCGACAGUGAUAUUAGAAAUUAGAAUAACGAAGAAAUAGAUGCAGAGUGCAUAUGGGAAACUGCUGUUUGUUGUGUGCCGGGGAGGAGGGGCGCGCGUGUUGGUUGUUUCUUGCCCGUUGGCCAACGGAAAACCUGUUUGAAAUUUGAACUCAUAUUUUUCUCAUUACCAUAAAUACCCAUAGGAGCGCCUCUUAAACGAUUUAGUCCGGUGACCCAG